GAUGAACGCUGGCGGCGUGCCUAAUACAUGCAAGUCGAACGCUUCACUUCUGUGAAGAUUGGCGAACGGGUGGGUAGUGCAUAAGUAACCUGGCAUCUACAGGGGGAUAACUGAUGGAAACGUCAGCUAAGACCGCAUAUGUGUAGAUAUCGCAUGAACUCUAUGUGAAAAGUGCUGCGGGACUGGUAGAUGAUGGGCUUAUGGCGCAUUAUCUUGUUGUUAGGGUAACGGCCUACCAAGGCGACGAUGCGUAGCCGACCGUGGGGGGUGACCGGCCACCCUGGGACUGAGAAACGGCCAAGACUCCUAGGGGAGGCAGAAGGAGGGAAUUUUCGGCAAUGGGGGAAACCCUGACCGAGCAACGCGGCGUGAAGGAAGAAGUAAUUCGUUAUGUAAACUCCUGUCAUAGAGGAAAAAAGGUGCAUAUAAGGAAUGAGAUCUAAGUGACGGUACUAAAGAAGAAAGCCACGGCUAAUUACGU
rnacentral:rRNA from 1 species